rnacentral:rRNA from 1 species
UACAGAGGGGGCAAGCGUUAUUCGGAAUUAUUGGGCGUAAAGGGCGCGUAGGCGGCCCGGCAAGUGGAAGGUGAAAUCCCUCGGCUUAACCGAGGAACUGCCCUCCAAACUGCUUGGCUUGAGUCCGGGAGAGGUGAGUGGAAUUCCCAGUGUAGCGGUGAAAUGCGUAGAUAUUGGGAGGAACACCAGUGGCGAAGGCGGCUCACUGGACCGGAACUGACGCUGAGGCGCGAAAGCGUGGGAAGCAAACGGG